GACGAACGCUGGCGGCGUGCUUAACACAUGCAAGUCGAACGGAGAGGCGAACGGGUGAGUAAAACGCGGGUGAUCUGCCUUGCACUUCGGGAUAAGCUUGGGGAACUGGGUCUAAUACCGGAUAGUGCAAGGUGAGCUCGCGGCCAAUCAGCUGGUUGGUGGGGUAAUGGCCUACCAAGGCGUCGACGGGUAGCCGGCCUGGGAGGGGGUACGGCCACAAUGGGACUGGGGGACGGCCCAGAGUGCAACGGGAGGCAGCGGGGGGGAAUAUGGCGCAAUGGGCGGGAGCCUGGUGGAGCGACGCCGGGUGGGGAAUGUAGGCCUUCGGGUUGGAAACGCCUUUCGACAGGGACGCGGUACCUGUAUAAGAAGCACCGGCUAACUACGUGCCAGCAGCCGCGGUAAUAC
rnacentral:rRNA from 1 species